rnacentral:lncRNA from 1 species
UACAACUCAAAAGAACUUGUUGGUGAGAUAGUCGCGACGUGGUGAAAAACGCAUAAGAAUUCAACUACAGGUACGGAAAUAAGAAUCACAACAAACGUACUAAACCAUGUAUCUUCGCCAAUGUAGCUGAUUGCAUAUCUUCUCAUGGAAUUGUACAAAUACACCCAUAGUAAGAUCAACAAUCCCUGAACCACACAAACUUUCAGUUAGUGCACAUGACCGACCCCGAUAAAAGAACAUGAUAACAAAAGGAACAGAGGAAUGAAUACUGUGGACACAAAGUAAAAUAUAAGUUAAGAAGCAUAGAAUGUGCCAGAAUGGUUUAAAAUUAUUGUUUCGAGUUAUGAAUAAUCUUAUGCUCUCUUUUAGGUUAUAGUUUCACUCUUCCUUGAUUUUCUUCAUCAUGCAGAAGUUUGUGUCACCAUGUCCAGGUUCAUGUGCAUGUCAUGCUUGCGUGCUGUGUCCAAAGCAGGAGCAAGUCAAAGGGAUAGUUUCUGUAUAAGUAGGUAGUUGCAGUAAUUAUUGGUGGAUAUAUAUAGUGAUAGUGAGAUUAACAGUAAAUGAAGACAAUUGCUACACGUGCAAACAAAAAAUUAACCCCCAGCUGAAACCAUCGGGCCCUCCAAAACACCAAUAAAGCAACAAGUAAAAAUUUAAAAGGCAAAAUUAUAUCAAUAUCGAAUAAAGAACAAAGGCUUGUCUAAUUUCAUAUGUUUUUUUGCGAAUGUCUAAUUCAUAUGUUUUUCAUGUUUCAAAUUUGGCAUGAAAUCGUUUGGUUUUCACUACUAUAUUGCAUCUACCAUCUUUUAGUAUCUAAGGAAAAGAAUAGAAUUUGUAUAGGAACCAAUUUGUCUAAAUCAGUCCAGGUUGUCGUCAGCCAAGCCAAUAAAUUGAAUGACAGCGCCUAAAUUAAAUCCCAUGAAAAUUUCUAUUCAAUCGAAUCCCAGUUUUCGGUCCAUCUCAAUCCUGGCCCUCUGCCAUAGUCUCCCAAUUCAUAGCUCACAACUGCUGGCUGCUGCCUCCUGUACACUUUUGCUGCUCCCUGCCCCAUUUCUGUUUGCCUAACCACAUGACAUCAGUUUAUUUCCGCCUACGCCUCCACCCUCCUGACCCUUCAAAUCACUUCCUCCUUCCAAUCAUUGACGAAGGCCCCAUGGUCUAUGUGUUCAUCUCCCACGCUUUGACUCCCCUACGUCACUGAUGCCUCAUCCUCUUCCUUCUUCCCCCAAAGGACCUGUUCAUUUGUUCCAGGACAACCACCUCUAUGCAGCCUUUGUCAGUUUGGCCAUUUUGCAGGUGCUUCAUGAGUGAUUUACCCAAUCUGAUGUGUUAAAUAUAUAGUGUGCACAUUGAAGAAAUUGAGGAUUUUGUUGAUACGUAAUGGAGCUGUGUGAGCUUAUUAGAUUAUUCUUCAACUGUUUACUGGACAUUAAGAAUUGGAAGCUGGUAGUGCUCUUUUUUGGGACUGAGGACAAGAAAACUUCUUUGCUGUGGCCAGUUUUAGACCUGGAAUCUCCUUAUUUGAAAAUAAAGGACCAGUUUUUGUUAUGUUGUGUCUAGCAUUACAAUUGAUUAUUAUUGCUUCGAUGCUGUGCUGUCUCAGUUGCUCCCAGAAUCAGUAUGAUAUCACCAUCGUAGGCUGCAGUUAAUUUUUUCUUCUUCUGUCAAAUACUUUUCUAUGUUCCUGAAGUUGGAAAAAAAUCUGCGCUCUAAGAACGACUGUACAAGACUAGAGAGGAAAAAAAAAAUGCAUGGUUUCGUUAUCUGAGUCUUCAUGGGUUUCCUUUGAUUUGUUUACUGAUCAGCUAUGUGAAUAAGUGCCUAAGAUCAACAUUAUGUGUCAAAUGAAAAGGAAUCAAAUAAUUUGGUUAACUGAUUGUACAUUUUAUUUAUGCAGAGAGCUGAUCUUAGGUUUCUUCCGAUCGUGUUAUGUAUUGUCGAACUGCUAUUCAAGUCCAGUGUCGACUUUUGGAUCUAUCUAUGCAACAAUGGAACUCAUUUUAUUUGGAUCAAAGUAACUUCCAUCAUACACAAUCUAGUACAUUGCCCCUCCAAUUUAUUGCAUGAUAUUUGUAUGUAUGUAUAUAUAAAUUUGUAAAUUUGCAUGACGACCUGAACCCCAAAACUUAACCUCCCUGGCCGGACCCUAAACCCGGCAGCAAGAUCGAUCCUGCCCAAAUUCAAUUCAUUGCGAUUGCGUGAUUCGGACAUUCGAUUUAACAAACCAUUCAGAUGGAUGGCGCGAGAGGGUUGGAAGGGAUGAUGGAUCUUAAGUGUGUCGCACGUACCCGGAUGAUGAACUUGGUGAUCCG